AUGGAGUUCAAGGAACUGCUGAAACUGAGGUGCUGGGCUGUUCUGGGACUCAGUUGCAUCUUCAGCCCAGGCAAAUCUUGGAGUGAAGAAGUGGUGAGGAACUCCAUUCACAAUCCUCCUUGGAUUUUAGACACAGUGUUUGAAGAAGCUGUUUACCAAGAUGUCCAGCCCAUUCCUUUACUGGAGAUGGUUUGCCAGAAGGGGCAGAAUGAUUAGUAUUUGGUAUUGAUGAACACAGGUAGCCUUCUCAUUAGCUACUACAAUGCAGUCUGAUAUAGUGAUGUAACCUAACAUCAAUGGCAGCUUAAAUUACCUCACUGGCUAUGAACUGCAGCAGUGAAAACAUCUGAUUGAUGAUCCCUGGUGGGUUACGCUGUGGCAGCUGAAGAAGUUACUGCUCCAGCUGUGGGGGAGGUCACCACUCUAGCCUAGUGCAGCUGAAUGUGACAAGGAAAAUGAAUCAAAGCUGUGAGACAUUUUCCUCUGGUUUGGGGAGAGUUGUUUAUCCAGGCUUUGUAUUAUACAAUAAGUCUUGUGUAUACUUUGAAGGCAGUUUGAUGCUAGGCUCCAUUCAGUAUCAGCCGCUCAGCAUUCAGUGUUCCUUCUGCAUCCUGCUGAUCAAAUUUUAGUGGAAUGAAUGUUUCAUCAAACUUCACAUAGAUAAAAAUAGCUUGCGCUCCCAGUGAACGAAAGUGUCUGCAGCUUUAAUGCAUUUCCACCUACUACCUUGCUGAGUUUUACCAUUGUCCAAAACAGACAGCUUGCUUCACAGCACACAAUCUAUUCCAAGAAGGUAGGCUGAGCUAGUUGGAGUCUGCUUGCAGAUUGUACUCGAUGCUGGCACGCAUGUCCCUCAUUUCACCACUGCUGUUUGUAUUAAUCAACAUUCAUUCAAAUUGCUGACACAACAGCCACUAAGGUGAACGUAUCUCUUGACAUCAUUUUGCUGUGCUGACUGGAUCACCACACAGCUUCCCAUUCUUUCCCUUCUUUUCUUUCUGGCACUUUUUCAUAGAGCCCUAGCAAUUUUAAUCACUGAUUUGCUUUUACCCUGUAAUGGGCUGCAAUGCAGUGGCGAUGUGCUAGAAUUUCCAUUUCCUGAUACAUCUUACAAAUGUCACUAGAAUUUAACACCCAAAACUGCUAUUUAGGACACGCUGAGUAUCUCUGUGAUGUCUGGAUUCCCAGAAGAAUGGUGAUGUGUAAUUCUCUAGCC
rnacentral:lncRNA from 1 species